rnacentral:rRNA from 1 species
UACGUAGGCAGCAAGCGUUGUUCGGAGUUACUGGGCGUAAAGAGUGCGUAGGUGGUGCCCUAAGUCUGUUGUGAAAUCUCCCGGCUUAACUGGGAGGUGCGGUGGAAACUGGGGUGCUUGAGUGUGGGAGAGGGUAAGCGGAAUUCCUGGUGUAGCGGUGAAAUGCGUAGAUAUCAGGAGGACACCGGUGGUGUAGACGGACUUACUGGACCGACGCUGACACUGAGGCACGAAAAGCGUGGGGUAGCAAACAGG